rnacentral:rRNA from 1 species
UACGGAGGAUGCAAGCGUUAUCCGGAAUGAUUGGGCGUAAAGCGUCCGCAGGUGGCUGUGUAAGUCUGCUGUCAAAGAGCAAAGCUCAACUUUGUAAAGGCAGUGGAAACUACACGGCUAGAGUGCGUUCGGGGCAGAGGGAAUUCCUGGUGUAGCGGUGAAAUGCGUAGAUAUCUGGAGGAACACCGGUGGCGAAGGCGGCAUCCUGGACCGGUAUUGACGCUGAGGCGCGAAAGCCAGGGGAGCAAACGGG